rnacentral:rRNA from 1 species
CUAAAAUGUAUUUUCCGUAGGACCUUUGCACAGGUGCUGCAUGGCUGUCGUCAGCUCGUGCCGUGAGGUGUUGGGUUAAGUCCCGCAACGAGCGCAACCCUUAUCAUUAGUUGCCAACACGAAAGGUGGGAACUCUAAUGAGACUGCCUGGGUUAACCAGGAGGAAGGUGAGGAUGACGUCAAGUCCGCAUGGCCUUUAUAUCUGGGGCUACACACGUGCUACAAUGGUCGGUACAGAAGGCAGCAAGACCGCAAGGUGGAGCAAAUCCGUAAAGCCGAUCUCAGUUCAGAUUGUAGUCUGCAACUCGACUACAUGAAGUUGGAAUUGCUAGUAAUGACGUGUCAGCAAUAACGUCGUGAAUACGUUCCCGGGUCUGUACCACACC